rnacentral:rRNA from 1 species
AUUGAACGCUGGCGGCAUGCCUUACACAUGCAAGUCGAACGGCAGCGGGGACUUCGGUCCGCCGGCGAGUGGCGAACGGGUGAGUAAUGCAUCGGAACGUACCCGGAAGUGGGGGAUAACGUAGCGAAAGUUACGCUAAUACCGCAUAUUCUGUGAGCAGGAAAGAGGGGGAGCUUCGGACCUCUUGCUUUCGGAGCGGCCGAUGUCAGAUUAGCUAGUUGGUGAGGUAAAGGCUCACCAAGGCGACGAUCUGUAGCGGGUCUGAGAGGAUGAUCCGCCACACUGGAACUGAGACACGGUCCAGACUCCUACGGGAGGCAGCAGUGGGGAAUUUUGGACAAUGGGCGCAAGCCUGAUCCAGCCAUGCCGCGUGAGUGAAGAAGGCCUUCGGGUUGUAAAGCUCUUUCGGCCGGGAAGAAAUCGCAUGGAUUAAUACUCUGUGCGGAUGACGGUACCGGCAUAAGAAGCACCGGCUAACUACGUGCCAGCAGCCGCGGUAAAAC